rnacentral:rRNA from 1 species
CCUACGGGCGGCAGCAGUGAGGAAUAUUGGUCAAUGGGCGUAAGCCUGAACCAGCCAAGUCGCGUGAGGGAUGAAGGUUCUAUGGAUCGUAAACCUCUUUUAUAAGGGAAUAAAGUGUGGGACGUGUCCUGUUUUGUAUGUACCUUAUGAAUAAGGAUCGGCUAACUCCGUGCCAGCAGCCGCGGUAAUACGGAGGAUCCGAGCGUUAUCCGGAUUUAUUGGGUUUAAAGGGUGCGUAGGCGGCCUUUUAAGUCAGUGGUCAAAUUGAGGGGCUCAACCAUAGAAUUGCCGUUGAAACUGGGAGGCUUGAGUAUGUUUGAGGCAGGCGGAAUGCGUGGUGUAGCGGUGAAAUGCUUAGAUAUCACGCAGAACCCCGAUUGCGAAGGCAGCCUGCCAAGCCAUGACUGACGCUGAUGCACGAAAGCGUGGGGAUCAAACAGGAUUAGAUACCCGAGUAGUC